rnacentral:tRNA from 1 species
UGUGGCUCAGUGGUAGAGUACUUGCCUAGCAUGUGUGAGGCACUGGGUUCGAUUCCCAGGACCACAA